rnacentral:tRNA from 1 species
CGGGAAGUAGCUCAGCUUGGUAGAGCACGUGCUUCGGGAGUACGGGGUCGCAGGUUCAAAUCCUGUUUUCCCGA